rnacentral:sRNA from 1 species
AAGCUGACAUCUGUAGCACUGCCCGUGA